UACAGAGACUGCAAGCGUUAUUCGGAUUCACUGGGCGUAAAGGGUGCGCAGGCGGUUGGGUGUGUCAGAUGUGAAAUCCCGAGGCUCAACCUCGGAACUGCGUCUGAAACUACUCGACUAGAGUGACUGGAGAGGGUAACGGAAUUCACGGUGUAGCAGUGAAAUGCGUAGAUAUCGUGAGGAACACCAGAGGCGAAGGCGGUUACCUGGACAGUUACUGACGCUCAGGCACGAAAGCAUGGGGAGCAAAAGGG
rnacentral:rRNA from 1 species